rnacentral:rRNA from 1 species
GGCCCGCACAAGCGUUUGAGCAUGUGGUUUAAUUCGAUGCAACGCGAAGAACCUUACCUGGUCUUGACAUCAACAGAUAUUUCAAGAGAUGGAUUGGUGCCUUCGGGAACUGUGAGACAGGUGCUGCAUGGCUGUAGUCAGCUCGUGGUGUGAAAUGUUGGGUUAAGUCCAGAAACGAGCGCAACACUUAUCCUUUGUUGCCCGCGGUUAGGCCGGGAACUCCAAUGAGAAUGGC